GGGGAGGCCAUUAGCUCUCUCUGCAGCUCUGGAGAGAGGAAGCACUUCCUUCCCCACCCCUCCGCACCCCUACACAUCACAGCUGAAUCCUGGAUGGCCUUCCACCCAAAUAAGGCACAUGCCCGACACGGCACCCAGGAGGAGGUCAGAAGAGAACUUACAGAGCCUGUUCUUCCUUCCACCGCUCAGGUCGCCAGGCUCAGCAGCAAGUGUCUACCCACUGAGCCAUUCCACCAAGCUUCCGCCUUACUUUUUGAGCCAGGCUGCUGGCUUUUUAUGUGAGUGCUGGGGACUUGCACUCAGGUCCUCAUCACUUUGCCCACUGAGACACCUCCCCGGCCCCCAGAAGACUAUCAAUAAUGAGGUUUUUUUUCUCUUGACGCAAAGUCCAUGGGAAAGCAAAGUUGUUGUGGAGAAUAUGGGGGAGGGGGGUAGUAAAGCAGACCCUGAAGCCAAAAGGCCAUGGGUCCCAGCUGACAUCCUCAGGCUGAGCUCUGACGGCCCCCUCCCGCUGGCAUGGCAGCUGAAGAAACGAGAAUUCUGACUUCAGAAGAGCGUCCCUGAGAACUCAAGUCCUGGGAGCCACACCUCCUGGCUCGUCGAUCCCCCUCUGCUUCCCUUCCCUACCUCCUCUCAGCUCUCAGGCCGGAGGACAGGGCUGCGCUCCAACAAAUGCUCCUUCCUGCCCUCCGGAGACGAACUGGGGCUUUCCUUCUUUGUCUGCCAGAUGUGGGUGUCUCUCCUGAGGCUGCUGCCAGCAGCAGUGCCUCCUGGCAUGAACGACUAGGCACUGUCUCCUUCCUGCUGCCAGGGUGGAGACCUGAGUCAGACCAUCCGGAUUCCAAGCUCAUCGUCACCCAUUUCAGCUGUGUGGCUCUGGGGAAAUCGCCUAACCUUUCUGUGCCUCACUUUCUAUGAGGAGUAACAGCUUUCCCAAGUAGAUAAAGCUGCCACACCACUUAGUGCUCAGUAAUGCUCCCUGCUGGACCACCCUCUCCAGCAUGGAGGUGAUCCCCAGGAUUGAACCCAGGACCUCAUGCAUGUUGAGCAAGUGCUCUCCCAUUGGGCUACCCCCCAGAAAACUACCACCGGAACUUCUGUCUGUUGUUUCUGGGUUUUGAGACCGGAUCUCUUGCGGACAUCCCAGGCUGGCUACACAACUCGCUGUGGAGCUGAAGAUGGCAUUCAACUUCUGAUCCUCCUGCCUCCACAUCCCACGUGACGUCGGACGCACCACCCCUCUUAAGAGGUGCUGGGGAUCGAGUCCAGGGCCUUGUGUAGGCUAGGCCAGCACACUACUGGCUGAGCUACACCCCCAGCUUCAGAUGAAGAGCCUGAGCCUGGAGUCUGUGACGUGACCUACGGUGACACAGGCUGAAGUGUGUCAGCCCCAUGUUGUCCAGCUGUGAAGCCCGCUGAGGCAGCACACAUGGCUGGAGGCUCUGUGCCAGCCUGCUUCGAGAGGCCUGGGAGGUGUGAUAAGCAGUGGCUGCCGGUGGCCUCAUCAGUCACCUGGGCCACUUGCCCUACUAAUCUUUCUAGAAGCCUUUCCCUCACCUAGGAGCCUGUCUGUCCUUCCCACUCUCAAAUGACCAUUGCCAUCAGUUGGUGUGAGACCUUCCCUCCAGGUCUCUAUCCAUCAGUGAGGAGACAUGGACCUUCUCAGGCACGAUGGCUAGCAACUGACGUGUUUGGCCUUACAGAAAUCCUGUCCACCCUGGAGGCACACUGUGGCUCAGACAUGGUCCUCUUCCCAAUAGUCUACAAGCACCCUGAGGCUCCUAGCUGAAACAGUCCAGGACUGUGGCUUAGGGGCUCAGAUAGACUCCAGGGAGCAUCCAGUCACCCCUGCCCUUCCUGUGGGCCACCCAAAACCUGAAGGAGUCAACCUCUGAGCUAGGCCUUCCAGCCUGUUCCUGGCCGCCUCUCUGCUAUACAGGAUGUGAACUAUGAUGGCCACCAGAUGUGCAAGGGACAUAGAUGUCAGUAGGCUAUGCCAUGGAAGCUCCCUGAAUCCCACAGCUGCCCCCCAGCUUUCACCUGAGGACAGGGGAUCCUGUUUCAGAGGAUGGACAAUGAAUACCAGAGGGUGUCUGGGCACACAGUGUACCCCAACUCCUAAAGAGGGCACAGGACCACAGAAAAUCAGGGGUGGCCUCUGGGGAUGGGUGAUCUGGGUUGGAAAAGUGUUCAGGCACGGUCCUCUUCUGUUUUCCUGGCAGAGUGACCCUGGCUGGCCUAGAACCUGCUAUGUGGACCAAACUGGCCUUAUACUCGCAAUGCUCCUGUCUCUGUAUCUCAGUCCUGGGAUUCCAAGAGUUCGACACCAUGCCCAGCGAACAGGCAAGAUUUUUGUUGUUAAGCUCUCUGCCUCAAAUGCCUCGUUUAUAGAGAAGUGAGUCAGUUGCUCUCCAGAGUGCAUGUGCUUACAUCAGAAGGCACUGGAUGGUGCGUGUCUGUUCUAUAGACGUCUAAAGCAGGAGGAUCAGGAGGUCCAGGUCACCCUUAAGUUGGAAGCCAGCCUGGGCUAUAAGAGAAUCUGUCACAAAAAAAAAAAAAAGGAGGAGGAGGAAGGAAGGUCAGAAAGGCAGGGCCAAUUGCUGGGGACAAGCAGUAAACAAGACUGACACAGGAGCUGUCCCUAAAGCAAAGAGCAGAGUUAGCAAGUGUCACCUACGGAAACAUACAGCUCGGGGAAACUGAGGCCCGAGGAAGGGUAAAUAGCUAGUCAAGCCUUACAGCUGGGAACCAGCAAGUACCUCUGAGGAUCAUUUUCUCUGUGCUGAGCACACUCCAUUUUGGGUAUCUCUGUGUGUGUGUGUGUGUGUAUAUGUGUGUGUGUGUGUGCGCGCGCGUGCGUGCGUGCGUGCGUGCGUGCGUGCGUGCGCAUGUGAUUAUCUCCAAUUCCUGAGUGAGGAAGGUGCAGAGAAAGGUGAGGUGACUUUCUUGAAAUCCCAGCCAAGACCACACCAUGGCAACCAGGCUGGACAAACAGCAGAGUGAAAUUGAAGCUUCGCUGUCAUUGGCUGAGGACCAUGCAAUCCACGGCAUCUCUGAGAGUUGGGUUGCUCUCUGUUUCCUGGAACCUGACCUUCCCCAACCCAUGACCUUGACUUGUUUUUGAGAAUACUCUGACCCUCCCUGGCCCUCCCUAAUCACAUGGUGGAUGACCAUGUGAUUUUUUUAAAAGAAUUUUUGUGUUUCCUUAUUGCCUCAUUGUCUCCCUUCUGUAAAACUACUCGUGAUUUUACUCCUUAGAAGGGGCCCAAGAGAUGGAUUUGGGGCUGCUCUCUUUAACCCAAUUUAGGAGGCAGUCCCUGGCCAGCUCUUGGCUGCACCCCAAUAAAAACCAA